GGAAUAAUAUUUUUUGUUAUCUCUGGCCAAUAAUGCAAUGACAUGUAGGAUAACUUUUCCACAUGUCAUUGUGUUAUUGGCCGAAAAUAGCAAAACAGUGCUAUUCC
rfam:Prunus persica cultivar Lovell chromosome G7, whole genome shotgun sequence.